AAGUAUUAAAAAUUUUUUUGUUUUAUCAAAAUUUCAUUUUAAUGAAGCAGAUUCCUCUUAGGCACCCCAAGAAACCAAUUUUCAUUAUUGUGGAAAUACA